GGGAAUGUGGCUCUGUGGCAGAGUACUCAUCUAGCAUAUGUGAGGGCCUGGGUUCAACCCCCAGCACCA
rnacentral:tRNA from 1 species